AUAGUGGCAACCAGAUCCCUAGCUUUUCUCUCUUAGUGUCCGAAGGAUAUAUCCACAGGCAUGUUUGCCCAUCUUCGCAGGUGCUUUGGGAGAGUUGAUGUUGAUGGAGAAGAGUCUAGAGUGAAGCAAACGAAACCUAAAAAGGCCUGCAGAAAGACGUCAUCCCAUGAAACUGUCCUAAACAAGGUGCAGUCCAAUGAGGAAGAGGAGAGGCUGAAUAGAGAACUGGAGCUAACUACCAAGGAAAGAAAUCACCUGACAGAUCCCCUACUUUAUGUGACAGGUGGAUCCAUGAACAAGAGCCCCCACUUCAGGCCAAAUCCAUUUUAUGAGAAAUUGAAGAUAAAGGAGAAAGAGGUCAUGUCAUUGCCGCACAAUUUAUACACAAACAACACUGAACAUCGUGAGAAAUUUCCGGAGCUCAAGAAGGAGAAUCACUUCUAUCACAACCUGCACAGCUGGCUCCUGAUGGACCAGGCAUGUAUGAAGAAGAAGUUGGUCACAUUGAAGCAGGAGUGUAAGGAGUUAUAGCGAUAUUUGUUUGAGUUGAACCCGAAUGAUGAAGACGAAGAGGAGAAGACCAGCAACCUCCAGACCCAGCAAAAUUUGGUCUCAGAAACUGCAGGAGUGAUGGAAUAGGACGUAUCCCGGGAAGACAGGCCCGUGAAGAAUGAGUUUCUUUCUCAGAAGUUCCCUGCUGAAGACAAUCCUCAACAGUCAAAGACUUUUUUGGGGGAACAUUCUUCUUCUCAGUUAAUUUCCUCAACGUAUAGAGACUCUAAAUUUAUGUAUCCGAAUGCCGGCCUUCUGAUUGAGGUCUUUCUCCUUUCUCAUACCGACAACACCAUUUGAGAGACAACUGAGGGGACUGCCUUGACAUCUCGUGUCCUAGAGGAGAAACAGCACUACAAUUGUGUUUCUAAAUGUUCAUUAAGAAAAUGCUGUUAAGAAAUACUUUUGGUUAUGAUUUUCAUUGAAGUUUUGUUUUUGUUGUUUCAUAGUUAUAUAUUCUUGUUACUGUUUUUCAUUAUUGAUACCAUUUUAGUUGUUCAUUUUAU